CCUACGGGGGGCAGCAGUGAGGAAUAUUGGUCAAUGGCCGGAAGGCUGAACCAGCCAAGCCGCGUGAAGGACGAAGGUGCCAAGCAUUGUAAACUUCUUUUGUCAAGGGACAAAAUCAGGCUCGAGAGCCUGACCGAGGGUACUUGAAGAAAAAGCAUCGGCUAACUCCGUGCCAGCAGCCGCGGUAAUACGGAGGAUGCGAGCGUUAUCCGGAUUUAUUGGGUUUAAAGGGUGCGUAGGCGGGCUUUUAAGUCAGCGGUAAAAGCCCGGGGCUCAACCCCGGCGAGCCGUGAAAUUUUGUGGCUCAACCAUGGGAGUGCGGCGCGAACUGGAGACCUUGAGUGCGCGGAAGGCAGGCGGAAUUCGUGGUGUAGCGGUGAAAUGCUUAGAUAUCACGAAGAACCCCGAUUGCGAAGGCAGCCUGCCGCAGCGUUACUGACGCUGAAGCUCGAAAGCGCGGGUAUCGAACAGGAUUAGAUACCCCAGUAGUC
rnacentral:rRNA from 1 species